UCCGCCUGGGGAGUACGACCGCAAGGUUGAAACUCAAAGGAAUUGACGGGGGCCCGCACAAGCGGUGGAGCAUGUGGUUUAAUUCGAAGCAACGCGAAGAACCUUACCAGGUCUUGACAUCCUUUGACCACUCUGGAGACAGAGCUUUCCCUUCGGGGACAAAGUGACAGGUGGUGCAUGGUUGUCGUCAGCUCGUGUCGUGAGAUGUUGGGUUAAGUCCCGCAACGAGCGCAACCCUUGAUUUUAGUUGCCAGCAUUUAGUUGGGCACUCUAAAGUGACUGCCGGUGCAAGCCGGAGGAAGGUGGGGAUGACGUCAAAUCAUCAUGCCCCUUAUGACCUGGGCUACACACGUGCUACAAUGGAUAGUACAAAGGGUCGCGAAGCCGCGAGGUGGAGCUAAUCCCAUAAAACUAUUCUCAGUUCGGAUUGUAGGCUGCAACUCGCCUACAUGAAGCCGGAAUCGCUAG
rnacentral:rRNA from 1 species